GACGAACGCUGGCGGCGGGCUUAACACAUGCAAGUCGAACGAAGUGGCGAACGGGUGAGUAAUACGUGGGUAACCUGCCCUCCUUUUUGGGAUAAGCCUUGGAAACGGGGUCUAAUACCGAAUAAAGGGGGUUGGGCUCGCGGCCUAUCAGCAUGUUGGUGGGGUGAUGGCCUACCAAGGCGGUGACGGGUAGCCGGCCUGAGAGGGUGACCGGCCACAUGGGAACUGAGAUACUGCCCAGAGUCCUACGGGAGGCAGCAGUUGUGGAUAUUGCUCAAUGGGCGAAAGCCUGAUGCAGCGACGCCGCGUGGGGGAUGAAGGCUUUCGGGUUGUAAACCUCUUGCGCUAUCGAUGGGGUAGGUGGAGAAGAAGCGCCGGCUAACUACGUGCCAGCAGCCGCGGUAAUAC
rnacentral:rRNA from 1 species